rnacentral:rRNA from 1 species
UACACUCCUGCGGGAGGCAGCAGUGGGGAAUAUUGCACAAUGGGCGCAAGCCUGAUGCAGCCAUGCCGCGUGUAUGAAGAAGGCCUUCGGGUUGUAAAGUACUUUCAGCGGGGAGGAAGGCAAUACGGUUAAUAACCGUGUUGAUUGACGUUACCCGCAGAAGAAGCACCGGCUAACUCCGUGCCAGCAGCCGCGGUAAUACGGAGGGUGCAAGCGUUAAUCGGAAUUACUGGGCGUAAAGCGCACGCAGGCGGUCUGUCAAGUCGGAUGUGAAAUCCCCGGGCUCAACCUGGGAACUGCAUUCGAAACUGGCAGGCUUGAGUCUUGUAGAGGGGGGUAGAAUUACAGGUGUAGCGGUGAAAUGCGUAGAGAUCUGGAGGAAUACCGGUGGCGAAGGCGGCCCCCUGGACAAAGAAUGACGCUCAGGUGCGAAAGCGUGGGGAGCAAACAGGAUUAGAAACCCCUGUAGUCCCA